AUGCAAAGCGCACACAGUCUGCGUGACAUAAAUCCUCUCACCCUGCCAGACACGGACGCACAACUAAAACAUUACACAGUUCCCCCAUCCACUGCAGCCGGCACAGUACACAAAGCGAGCUUUCUGCGGCGGACACGAGGCGCUCUCCUUACAACCACAGACAGGGAAAGUCCAUCUCACCGCCCCGCGCAGACGUGCGCUGACAUCCGGAGCUCUGAGGCACCACGGACACGUCGUGCCCCGCACGCAGCCCCCGCGGCCCCAUUCAUUCCCUGCCGGCACCGAACCGCACCCCGCGUCUCACUCCGCGCUCCCGGCCUCAUCCUCCCCGCACAGCGCUCCGGCCGAACCGCGAACCUCCACCGCGCGGCCCCUCCCCGCCCGCGCCCCACAGAGCGCACCCACGCGGGACGGCCCCGCUCCGCGUCGGCGGUACCGGCAGUAUCGGCCGUACCGGGGGUACCGGGGGUACCGGCAGUAUCGGGGGUACCGGGAGUAUCGGCGGUACCGGGGGUUCCGGCGGUAUCGGCCCCCGCCCCCGCCCCGCGCUGCCGCCCCGCUCUGCCCCGCGCUCCGGCACGGCCCGACGCGCCCACUCCCACGCUCCCCUCCCGGACCGGUCCCGCUCCGCGCCCCCCGUCAGUCCCGGCCGUACUUCUCUCCUUCUCUCGGGUUCGCAGCGGCGAAAGAUCCGUCCGUCCGUCCCAGCGCCUUGGAGCCGGGUUGUGCCGGGCCGCUCUGAGCCGCUCCCUCCUCCCCGGCCCGCCCCGCGCGCUGCCCGUGUCCGGGGCCGCCCCCCACCCCGGUCCGCACCGAGCAGCGCCGGCUUCCAACCCGCAGCCUUCGGGUCGGGGAUGUCCCACGGGACGGGUACGGGCGCUGCGGGGCCCUGCAGCCCCGAGCUGCGCUGCUCCCCCGGCGGCUCCGCUGCGCGGCUCCCGCUGCCCCCGGGACGGAGCCCCGGCACAGGGCCAACACCGCGGCCCUCCCCUGCACGGUCCCCGUUUCUCUCCGCCCCGGGACCCACGGCCGCAGCGGGACCGGGACCGGCUGCAACCGCCCCUCGGAGCCGCUCUCUGGCACAGAGCGAUGCUGCCUGGCCAGCCGCGGGGAAAGCAGGGACUGCCCACGUCCCCUCUGCUCCGGGUACCUCGGACACUCUUCAGCUUCUUCCUUGCCUUAUGGGUGCGAGGCGGCUACCGAGGGGGUCCCUCCAUCCCUCCUUCCCAGCUCUUUCCCCACGACUGUGGCAGGACAGACACACAGACGUUCCCUCCUGCUGGUAUCAGGAGCCACCUCAGACCCAUAAUGGAGCCAUUGCCACGGGGGACCCCGUCCUGCAGAGGAGGUGCGGGAACCCUGGCCGAGCACACGCUGCCAGCACCGGGGCCGUGCCUCAUUGUGGUGAAGGGUUCGGGGCCGGGGAGCAGCUGGAGGCGGAGCUGUGGCCCCCGCUGUAGCCGAGGUCCCAGUGUGCUGGCUGCAAGCGUGGGGCUGGAUGGCUGGCAGCUACGGGCUGCUGGAGGGAGUCGGUGGUAUCCCAAUGCUUUCCCCAAGAGAUGA
rnacentral:lncRNA from 1 species